CCUACGGGUGGCUGCAGUGGGGAAUAUUGGACAAUGGGGGGAACCCUGAUCCAGCCAUGCCGCGUGUGUGAAGAAGGCCCUCGGGUUGUAAAGCACUUUCAGUGAGGAAGAACGCCUGGUGGUUAAUACCCAUCAGGAAAGACAUCACUCACAGAAGAAGCACCGGCUAACUCCGUGCCAGCAGCCGCGGUAAUACGGAGGGUGCGAGCGUUAAUCGGAAUUACUGGGCGUAAAGCGCGCGUAGGUGGCUUGAUAAGCCGGUUAUGAAAGCCCCGGGCUCAACCUGGGAACGGCAUCCGGAACUGUCAAGCUAGAGUGCAGGAGAGGAAGGUAGAAUUCCCGGUGUAGCGGUGAAAUGCGUAGAGAUCGGGAGGAAUACCAGUGGCGAAGGCGGCCUUCUGGACUGACACUGACACUGAGGUGCGAAAGCGUGGGUAGCAAACAGGAUUAGAUACCCGUGUAGUC
rnacentral:rRNA from 1 species